AUUGAACGCUAGCGGGAUGCUUUACACAUGCAAGUCGAACGGCAGCGCGGACUUCGGUCUGGCGGCGAGUGGCGAACGGGUGAGUAAUGUAUCGGAACGUGCCAAGUAGCGGGGGAUAACUACGCGAAAGCGUAGCUAAUACCGCAUACGCCCUACGGGGGAAGGCAGGGGAUCGUAAGACCUUGCACUAUUGGAGCGGCCGAUAUCGGAUUAGCUAGUUGGUGAGGUAACGGCUCACCAAGGCGACGAUCCGUAGCUGGUUUGAGAGGACGACCAGCCACACUGGGACUGAGACACGGCCCAGACUCCUACGGGAGGCAGCAGUGGGGAAUUUUGGACAAUGGGGGCAACCCUGAUCCAGCCAUCCCGCGUGUGCGAUGAAGGCCUUCGGGUUGUAAAGCACUUUUGGCAGGAAAGAAACGUCGCGGGCUAAUACCCCGUGGAACUGACGGUACCUGCAGAAUAAGCACCGGCUAACUACGUG
rnacentral:rRNA from 1 species